rnacentral:rRNA from 1 species
CGCCUAAUACAUGCAAGUCGAGCGAGAAGACGUAGCAAUACGUUUGUAAAGCGGCGAACGGGUGAGGAAUACAUGGGUAACCUACCCUCGAGUGGGGAAUAACUAGCCGAAAGGUUAGCUAAUACCGCAUACGACUCCUGGUCUGCGGAUCGGGAGGGAAAGCGAUACCGUGUGUAUCGCGCUCUUGGAUGGGCUCAUGUCCUAUCAGCUUGUUGGUGAGGUAAUGGCUCACCAAGGCUUCGACGGGUAGCUGGUCUGAGAGGACGAUCAGCCACACUGGCACUGCGACACGGGCCAGACUCCUACGGGAGGCAGCAGUAAGGAAUAUUGCGCAAUGGGCGACAGCCUGACGCAGCGACGCCGCGUGGGGGAUGAAGGUCUUCGGAUUGUAAACCCCUUUCGGCAGGGAAGAUGGAACGGGUAACCGUUCGGACGGUACCUGCAGAAGCAGCCACGGCUAACU